rnacentral:rRNA from 1 species
AGUGAACGCUGGCGGUAGGCCUAACACAUGCAAGUCGAACGGCAGCACAGUAAGAGCUUGCUCUUACGGGUGGCGAGUGGCGGACGGGUGAGGAAUACAUCGUAAUCUACUUUUUCGUGGGGGAUAACGUAGGGAAACUUACGCUAAUACCGCAUACGACCUACGGGUGAAAGCAUGGGAUCUUCGGACCUUGCGCGAUUGAAUGAGCUGGCGUCGGAUUAGCUAGUUGGCGGGGUAGUGGCCCACCAAGGCGACGAUCCGUAGCUGGUCUGAGAGGGUGACCGGCGACACAGGGACUGAGGGGCGGCCCAGAGUGGUACGUGUGGCAGCAGGGGGGAAUAUUGCACAAGGGGCGCAAGGGGGAUGAAGCAACCCCUCGGGUUGGAAGACCCCUUUCUGGGGAAAAAAAGCUAUCGCGUGAAACCCAGCGUGUGUGACGGUAACCAAAAAAGAAGCACCGGCUAAAUUCGGG